rnacentral:rRNA from 1 species
CCCUUAGAUGUUCUGGGCCGCACGCGUGCUACACUGAGCGGGCCAACGGGUGAGGAUGUGCGAAAGCGCUUCCCAAUCUCUAAAUCCGCUCGUGCUGGGGAUCGAGGCUUGCAAUUAUCCCUCUUGAACGAGGAAUACCUUGUAAGCACGGGUCAUCAUCCCGUGCUGAAUACGUCCCUGCCCUUUGUACACACCGCCCGUCGCUCCUACCGAUUGAGUGGUCCGGUGAGUCCUUGGGAGGGCUAAGUGGGCUGUGUUUCACAGACUACCUGGCCCGAACCUGGUCAAACCUUAUCACUUAGAGGAAGGAGAAGUCGUAACA